AGCGAACGCUGGCGGCAGGCCUAACACAUGCAAGUCGAACGAAGUCUUCGGACUUAGUGGCGGACGGGUGAGUAACACGUGGGAACGUGCCUUUAGGUUCGGAAUAACUCAGGGAAACUUGUGCUAAUACCGAAUGUGCCCUUCGGGGGAAAGAUUUAUCGCCUUUAGAGCGGCCCGCGUCUGAUUAGCUAGUUGGUGAGGUAAAGGCUCACCAAGGCGACGAUCAGUAGCUGGACUGAGAGGAUGAUCAGCCACAUUGGGACUGAGACACGGCCCAAAUUCCUACGGGAGGCAGCAGUGGGGAAUCUUGCGCAAUGGGCGAAAGCCUGACGCAGCCAUGCCGCGUGAAUGAUGAAGGUCUUAGGAUUGUAAAAUUCUCUCACCGGGGACGAUAAUGACGGUACCCGGAGAAGAAGCCCCGGCUAACUUCGUGCCAGCCGCCGCCGUAA
rnacentral:rRNA from 1 species